rnacentral:rRNA from 1 species
AUUGAACGCUGGCGGCAGGCCUAACACAUGCAAGUCGAGCGGAUGACGGGAGCUUGCUCCUGCAUUCAGCGGCGGACGGGUGAGUAAUGCCUAGGAAUCUGCCUGGUAGUGGGGGAUAACGUCCGGAAACGGGCGCUAAUACCGCAUACGUCCUGAGGGAGAAAGUGGGGGAUCUUCGGACCUCACGCUAUCAGAUGAGCCUAGGUCGGAUUAGCUAGUUGGUGGGGUAAAGGCCUACCAAGGCGACGAUCCGUAACUGGUCUGAGAGGAUGAUCAGUCACACUGGAACUGAGACACGGUCCAGACUCCUACGGGUGGCAGCAGUGGGGAAUAUUGGACAAUGGGCGAAAGCCUGAUCCAGCCAUGCCGCGUGUGUGAAGAAGGUCUUCGGAUUGUAAAGCACUUUAAGUUGGGAGGAGGGGCAGUAAGUUAAUACCUUGCUGUUUUGACGUUACCAACAGAAUAAGCACCGGCUAACUUCGUG